UACGUAGGGUGCGAGCGUUAAUCGGAAUUACUGGGCGUAAAGCGUGCGCAGGCGGUCUGUUAAGACCGAUGUGAAAAUCCCCGGGCUUAACCUGGGAACUGCAUUGGUGACUGGCAGGCUUUGAGUGUGGCAGAGGGAGGUAGAAUUCCACGUGUAGCAGUGAAAUGCGUAGAGAUGUGGAGGAAUACCGAUGGCGAAGGCAGCCUCCUGGGCCAACACUGACGCUCAUGCACGAAAGCGU
rnacentral:rRNA from 1 species